AGUGAACGCUGGCGGCGUGCCUAAUACAUGCAAGUCGAACGCGAAAGUCCUUCGGGAUGAGUAAAGUGGCGCACGGGUGAGUAAUGCAUGAGAACAUGCCCUUAGAUGGGGAAUAACGUUUGGAAACGAACGCUAAUACCGCAUAACCUCGAGAGAGUAAAGGUGGCGCCGCAAGGGCUACCGUCUAAGGAUUGGCUCAUGUCCCAUUAGCUAGUUGGCGGGGUAAUGGCCCACCAAGGCAACGAUGGGUAUGUGGUCUGAGAGGAUGAUCACACACACUGGAACUGAGACACGGUCCAGACUCCUACGGGAGGCAGCAGUAGGGAAUAUUGCACAAUGGGGGAAGCCCUGAUGCAGCAACGCCGCGUGCGGGAAGACGGCCUUCGGGUUGUAAACCGCUUUCAGUUGGGACGAAGGUCGGCGCGUUAAUAGCGGGUCCGACUGACGGUACCUUCACAAGAAGCUCCGGCUAACUACGUGCCAGCAGCCGCGGUAA
rnacentral:rRNA from 1 species